GCUUAUAGUGAUUGUGGACAGCAGUUUUGAUAGUUUCUGCUUAUCCUGGGAGUUGGAAGGUUGAAAAAACUGUUAUAUAUCAAUUAAGUGGAAGUUUUUGAUUACUUUUGCUAAUUGAGAAAAGUCAACACUGCCUGAAUCUGCUGGAUGCAAGUUCAGAUAACCCAUCUACAGGCUCCAGGCCAUAUGCUGAUGCAGAGGAAACCAAGAAAACUGGUAUGAAUAUGUGACGGAAGCGAACUUUGUAGACUCGGUAUCUUAUCAUUUUUCACAAAAUUUAAAGUCAUCCACCAUUUGGAAUCUACUGUUGGGGGAGCGGGAAGUGGACAAGAUCAUCCAAGAGGCGUAGCCAGAUUUUAAUGCCUAUACUUUUGUAAUUUGAGUAGAUUUGUAAUGCCUAUACUUUUGUAAAUUGAGUGCUUUUUAAUUGCCAUUACCUUUGUCAUUUUAUGAUGUUUUAAAGGUUUUACUUGAGUAAUUUAAAUAGUUUUAUUAUUGCGUAGCUCGUCCCAUUUCCUCGAAACUUCUUAAGCAUAACGGACUUAAAGGUGCUGUACUCUGUAUGAUGAAAUGGCAGAAAAAAAAGAUAAUUGUCGAAAACUGACAUAAACUUGGCAUCAAUGUGUAUAAUGCAUUGAAACUUACUAACUGAAGUACCACAUUAUAAGUUUACAAUUUAUUUAAGUUAAGCAGUUAUUUCGUAUUUUUCAAUUAAAAAGAUUACUGAGUAUGUCUUCCAGGUAGAAUUCAUUCCUUAUGCCUGAUUGGUUAGUCGAUGUUAUCAUGUGAUAUUACCGAGGUAGGUAUAUAGCUUAAUUAUGUCACCCAAUUAGAGUAAGCCUUCAUAGCUCAGUGGAUACGACGCUGGACUGCAAUUUUGGCGACACGGUUUCGAACCCGGUCUCCGACACAAUUUUUUUUACAUUUUGGUACCUUUUUUUUACUAUUAUGAUAUCAAAGCGUAACUCAUUCUAUAAGAUAAUUUUUCUGAGAAUCGUUACAGAAAAAAAACGUUUUUUUGUGCAAAUCUGGUGAACAGUCCCUUUAAGUAGCUUAUUUCAGAAACAUUGUUUAUUGUAGUUGACAAUUCUUAUAUAAAGUAAAACAAUUAAUACUCAAAAGUAGUAAAUAUUGUGCAAAAACAAAAAAGUGAGCUUAGCUUAGUCCUGUUAUCAGGGACUUAUGAAGUUUCAAGAAAUUGGGGCAAUCCUGUUUGUAAUUUAAAUAUUUUUAUUAUUUUUUUGAUGCCUUUAUUUUUGUUGAGUAUUUUUUUAAUUAAGACUUUUAGUUUGAUCCCUGAUGUGUUGCAUAUUGUAUUUUAUUGCUGUUGGCAUGGUAACAUUGUUAAUAUCAAUUAAAGUAUAAUCAUGAUAUUACUAGAAAUUUGUCACCACUGAGAUACUGU